GCUGGGCCUGGUGGUGCAUGCCUGUAAUCCCAGCAACUUGGAAGGCUGAGGCAGGAUUGCCAGAUUCAAGACUAGCCUCAGU
rnacentral:sRNA from 1 species